CGGAAACGCUAGAGAGACAAAACCCGUUUAUAUUUCGCGAUGGUGACAACGUCAGAGGGGACAGUUCGUGCUUCUCCGGUACCCUCGCCCAUCCCAGAAACAAGAAUUUUGAGACCUGCGAUUGGCUGGCAAUCAGUUCAGGGUGAAUACCGAAAAUCGCUAGGAUAGGGUCCAGCACUCCCGCGACCUCCCUGAGGAUAAGCGGCUAAGAAGACGGAAGGAUGGAUAAAUAAACCCUUUACCACCAUUAAGGGGUCGCCACAGCGUGUCAUCUCAGAUGAACGCACAUUUGUUUGGCACAGUUUUACGCUGGAUGUCCUUCCUGACGCAAUCCCUCUGCAUUCUAGCCGGGGAAAGAAGCUUACAGCACCCGCUAUUCCUAGGUGGUCUCCCAUCCAGAGCAGUUCAAGUGUUUCUUGUCACCUGUGCAGCCUGUGCUGCUCCUCAAAAGUUCCUCCAUGUCUUGGACAUGUGACAGCGAAGCCGGGACCUUGUCUGCUGCCGGUGCUCCCCCACUUGGACGGUGAUAAUGAAG